GCCCGGGUGGCGGAAUAGGCAGACGCGCUAGCUUGAGGGGCUAGUGCCCUUAGGGGCGUGGAAGUUCGAAUCUUCUCCCGGGCA
rnacentral:tRNA from 1 species